GGCAAAAUAGUACGUCGCAAAGAAGUGAUUAUUAAAAAGGAAAUCAUGUAGCGGGAAUAAGAAAUUGAACCACGUGGAAAAUUAGAAGAGCUUUACGUUUUUUAAAGCACUAUGUGGUUCUCCGGAAUAUUCACAAUAUGUAUUUUCACAGAUCCCACCUAGGACCUACAAAAAGAGGGGAGAGAGACCGCAUCCACAGUUUAUUUUCAAAACCGGGACUGAAGUGACAUUCUACAUCCGUGAAGAAGAGGAAGAGAGAUACCUGUCUGUCAACAGAGGAAUGAUGAUCAGACUGGAACCAUGGAAAUGGAUUUCCGACGAGGAGCGAGACGUGGCCAGGCGAGGCAAGGACAAAACUCAGCAUAGCGCUGAAGGGAAGAAGAACGAUUCGGCAUCCCAGCUGAAUGGUCACAAGAAGAGGACGACGAGUCAUGCGGAAGGUCAAUGGUGUUGGGUGCUGUGGGACGACGGAGCGAAAACAGGAAGCGAUUCGAGAGUCGUGCAAAAAGUGAAUCAGAUCAGCAAAUCUGUAACUAAGAAAACUGAAGAAGAAGCUGUAGAAAUUGUGAUGAAACUGGAUUCCAUAAUUGGGCAGAGCCAUUCAACGUUGACGAAAAAAAAUUACAGCAAUCUCAAAACUGAUUAUAUAUGGCCGGAGAUUGAUAAUGAUAAAGGAAAUAACUCUGAUUCAAUUAAAGAUUGUACUAAAAUAGUGACGAAAGGUGAUUCAAAAGAGAUGACACCAGAUGAAUGAGAAGCCUAGAUUGCUGAAAUAACAAAAAAUUACAACCAGAGAAGCAAAUGAAACGGGUAAACAAAAACGCGUUAUUGACGUCGAUUUCAUUUCAACGAUGACGUGAUGGACUUAUGGACCGCUUUAAGGAUUGUUCAGGAAUAGGACCUAAGGAAAUGCAACAGUGGAGAAAGAUGGAUGAGACAGCACAACACGGAAGAAGAUAAGCAGCAACCCAUACCUAGUAUCAGAGACCAACCAAAUGAUAAGUCACAGCGGAAGAUGACCAGCCAGUCAGCGAAUGGACACUAACAACGAAGAUUUGGAAAAAAGAAUAUAUAUAUGAUUUAUAUAUGAGUUCACGCAAAUGUAUACAAAAAAAUAUAAUUAAAUAAAUAAUACCGUUUAAUAAAUAAUGAAUAAUUAUAUUUACAGUUAAUAACAAAAAUAAAUUUACAGGAAGAUGCACAAGAAACUAGCUAAUUACAAAAGUAGACAAAAUUUUAAAAAAUAAUAAUAAUAACAUAUACACGAAAACUGUAGAUGAAGUAUACAAAUAUUAUAAUAAACAAGAAUAUAUUUUUAACAGUUAUACACAUUCAUAUAUAAAAAAAACUAUUGCAAUAUAUUUAUAAAAAAAAAAGAAGGUUGAUAACAAUAUUAGCAGGUAGAUAGGAAAUCUAACCUUUCGAACCAAUUUUAGGGAAAACUCAUCUAGUUUCCCCUAAAACUCAUUGAGUAGGGGGAGAUGCAGCGUUUGUGAUAGGGACCGAGGUGAAUGGUGAAUUCCAUAUGGUGAAACAUAUCUUUAUCGCACAAUCCUUUGUGCGGAUCGUGUGAAUCAUAGAAUACAUUUUAUGAUAGGCUCGGGUAGAUCCCGAAUAAAUAAAUACAUCUCUCUUGACGACCCUUGUUUGUGGAUCGUGUGAAUCAUAGGUCUAGUUUUAAGAUAGGAAUUUUUGUCUAUGCUUUGGUGCUACGAUAGCGGCGAGCUUAUCGCAAGUUCGUUUUGUUUAUUGUGUUCUAAAAACAAGAGAUAGGGUAUGAUUUCACGAUAGUGGCGAAGUUAU